rnacentral:tRNA from 1 species
ACCUGAGGCUCAGCUGGUAGAGCAUCUACCAGGUAUGCGGAGGAUCGCCGGUUCAAUUCCGGCUCAAGUA